rnacentral:rRNA from 1 species
AUUGAACGCUGGCGGCAGGCCUAACACAUGCCAGUCGAGCGGAUGAAGGGAGCUUGCUCCUGGAUUCAGCGGCGGACGGGUGAGUAAUGCCUAGGAAUCUGCCUGGUAGUGGGGGAUAACGUCCGGAAACGGGCGCUAAUACCGCAUACGUCCUGAGGGAGAAAGUGGGGGAUCUUCGGACCUCACGCUAUCAGAUGAGCCUAGGUCGGAUUAGCUAGUUGGUGGGGUAAAGGCCUACCAAGGCGACGAUCCGUAACUGGUCUGAGAGGAUGAUCAGUCACACUGGAACUGAGACACGGUCCAGACUCCUACGGGAGGCAGCAGUGGGGAAUAUUGGACAAUGGGCGAAAGCCUGAUCCAGCCAUGCCGCGUGUGUGAAGAAGGUCUUCGGAUUGUAAAGCACUUUAAGCUGGGAGGAAGGGCAGUAAGUUAAUACCUUGCUGUUUUGACGUUACCAACAGAAUAAGCACCGGCUAACUUCGUG